UGGUGGAGUGAUUUGUUUGGUUGAUUCCGUGAACGAACGAGAUCUCACCCUCUAAAUAGGGUGUGGAUCGCCUUCAGUAAGCACCGGGCGACACCCCUUCCGGGGUUCGUUCCGGGGUUUACUAGAUGCCACACGCCUUCUUAGAGGAACAUCGCAUGUUUGGAGUGCGAUGGAGCGAGCCAAUAGCA
rnacentral:rRNA from 1 species